rnacentral:rRNA from 1 species
UAACCUGCCCAAGAGAUCGGGAUAACACCUGGAAACAGAUGCUAAUACCGGAUAACAACAGAUGAUGCCUAUCAACUGUUUAAAAGAUGGUUCUGCUAUCACUCUUGGAUGGACCUGCGGUGCAUUAGCUAGUUGGUAGGGUAACGGCCUACCAAGGCGAUGAUGCAUAGCCGAGUUGAGAGACUGAUCGGCCACAUUGGGACUGAGACACGGCCCAAACUCCACGGGAGGCAGCAGCC